GUAAAUAAUUAAGGGCGUAUGGUGGAUGCCUAGGCUCUCAGAGGCGAUGAAGGACGUGAUAAGCUGCGAAAAGCUCCGUUUAGGUGCAAAUAACCUUUGAUGCGGAGAUUUCCGAAUGGGAUAACCCAAUAUGUUGAAGACAUAUUAUACCGUAAGGUAGGCAAACGCAGGGAACUGAAACAUCUAAGUACCUGCAGGAGAAGAAAACAAACGUGAUUCCCCCAGUAGCGGCGAGCGACCGGGGAAAAGCCCAAACCGUUAUUGUUUCGGCAUUAACGGGGUAGUAGGACUGCAAGCUUGAUGAAAUAAAUGAAAUGGAACACCUUGGAAAAUGUGAUCACAGAGGGUGAUAAUCCCGUACAUGCAAGUUUAUGAAUCAUAGCAGACUCCUGAGUAAGUCGGGACACGUGUAAUCCUGACCGAAUCCGCCGGGACCAUCCGGCAAGGCUAAAUACUCCUGAGAGACCGAUAGUGAACCAGUACCGUGAGGGAAAGGUGAAAAGCACUUCGAACAGAAGAGUGAAAUAGUCCCUGAACCCAUACGCCUACAAGCAGUCGGAGCCGCUUCGUGCGGUGACGGCGUGCCUUUUGCAUAAUGAGCCUACGAGUUACUCAUCACCAGCGAGGUUAAGUACUUCAGGUACGUAAGCCGAAGCGAAAGCGAGUCUGAAUAGGGCGUCAAGUUGGUGGUGGUAGACGCGAAACCUUAGUGAUCUACCCAUGGGCAGGGUGAAGGUUUGGUAACACAAACUGGAGGCCCGAACCGGUAAACGUUGAAAAGUUUUCGGAUGACCUGUGGGUAGGGGUGAAAGGCCAAUCAAACUGGGAAAUAGCUCGUACUCUCCGAAAUGCAUUUAGGUGCAGCCUCUGUUGUUUUGUUCUAGAGGUAGAGCUACUGAUUGGAUGCGAGGGCUUCACCGCCUAUCAAAUCCGGCCAAACUCCGAAUGCUAGAACAUGAAGACAGGGAGUGAGCCAGCGGGUGCUAAGGUCCGUUGACGAAAGAGGGAGAACUCAGACCAUCAGCUAAGGUCCCCAAUUGUAUGCUAAGUUGGAAUUAAAACGGGGUGGGACUGCUUAGACAGCUAGGAUGUUGGCUUGGAAGCAGCCAUUCAUUUAAAGAGUGCGUAACAGCUCACUAGUCGAGCGGUCCUGCAUGGAUAAUACGCGGGCAUAAGCAUAUAACCGAAGCUAUGGGAUUGUAGAUGAUACAAUCGGUAGGAGAGCAUUCCAUUCAGCGUAGAAGCAGUAUCGUGAGGUAUUGUGGAGCGGAUGGAAAAGCAAAUGUAGGCAUAAGUAACGAUAAUGCGGGUGAGAACCCCGCACGCCGAAAGAUCAAGGAUUCCCCGGCAAUGUCAAUCAUCCGGGGGUAAGUCGGAUCCUAAGGGUAAGCCGAGUGGCGAUCCCGAUGGCAAACAGGUUAAUAUUCCUGUACUGAUCAUAACUGCGAUGCAGCGACGCAGAGGUGACACUGCUGCGUACUGACGGAAUAGUACGUUGAAACCCGUAUUCUUUGAUACCGGUAGUGAAGCACGCCGGUAGAGAUGAAAGGUGAUAGUACCGCAAUGCUUCGGUUGCGCGGAUAACGCAGGUAAGCUGACUGCCAAGAAAACCUGCUAAGCUUCAGGUAAUGAUCAUCCGUACUGUAAACGGACACACGUGAUCAGGUAGAAAAUACUAAGGCGCUCGAGAGAUUCAUGGUUAAGGAACUAGGCAAAAUGGUCCUGUAACUUCGGGAUAAAGGACGCUCUUGUGAAAGAGCCGCAGAUAAUAGGCCCAGGCGACUGUUUACCAAAAACACAUGGCUAUGCUAAUUCGCAAGAAGAUGUAUAUGGCCUGACACCUGCCCGGUGCCGGAAGGUUAAGAGGAGAGCUCAGAGGUAACUCGAAGGUUUGAAUUGAAGCCCCGGUAAACGGCGGCCGUAACUAUAACGGUCCUAAGGUAGCGAAAUUCCUUGUCGGGU
rnacentral:rRNA from 1 species